rnacentral:rRNA from 1 species
AUGUACCUUUGGUUUCCUAGAAGCCCAUUGUGCGCGUCCUUAAUUAGCAACUCACUUUCCAAAAGUUCCGAUGACAAUUUAUGUGAAACCAGUUGUGCAGUUUGCAUCUUUGUAACAAUACAUGCUAUAACAUCGAAGUUAACACUAAAAGUGUUCUCUGCAGUGUAUGGAAGUUUAACUUAUUAUGCGAAUCUGCUUUCAUUUGAUUGUGCCUCAAAUUUCACAAUCAUUAUUAUUUAUUUUAGACACUUGAAAAUGAAGGGAGAAAUGCUACAGUUGUAUGUUGUUUCUGCAGUAUGUUGA